UAACUUGUCACAGAUUAGGAAGAAUAUAUGCCUGUGACUAUUGUUAUAUUACCUGUCUGUAUGUGUUACUAUGGCGUUUGUGUGUCAAUAUACAUUGUUUGAAAUUAAAUCCCUCCCAUGAUCUAAUGCUAAUUUUAGCUAGGCCGGCAAUAGGGUUUUCCUUUCAGUUAGCACUAAAUUGGCAAUAUUUCUAAAUCUAAGUGCGUGUUAUAUUAAAACUUACAAUGUGUGUAAUUAUUUUUGUUCUGCGUUUAGUUUUACAGUUAACUCCAACUGGGGUGUCGGUAAACAGCAGAAUUACAUACAUCACAUGCUUGUUGCAAGCACCAUAGGUGCUUUCACAGGAACUUUCAAACACACACUACACCGUUCAGCACAAUAAAAGUUUUUCUUUGACUAUAAUGUUUUUUUGACCCAGUUAAGCCAAAAUGGAAAUCACGAUUCAAUUUCGUUUAAUUGCCCAGGCCUAAUUCAAAUAUGACUAAGUGAAUUAGGUUUCGGGGCUAAAAAUAGGUUGAAAAGUACACAUAUACUGUACAAAACAACAACAAAGCUAAAUGGGCCCAUUCAUUGUGCAACGUAUGAAAUUAAAAUAGCUACUUUGGGAUCAAAGGAGCUUUACAAAUACAACGAUGGGUUGCUGCUAUCUCCCAAUUCCUUAAAAAACAAUAACACGGUUCAUGGGCUAUUUCUGACAGUUUCAAAUGACUGUGAGCUUGGGCCCUCAGGUGUGAUCGAGCUAUGUAUGCUACAUUUGCAUGGGGCGUAAUCCUUGGCAGCAAAAACUGGAAAAUGCACUUAGGGAAGAUUUCCAAAACAGCAAAAAAAACAAAAAAAAGACAAGAGCCAGUCAAGGAAACAUACAUUACAGACAUUCCUAUCCCUUAUUAUCGCCAUGCCCCUUGGUACUUUUAGCAACACUAAUCACCUGAGAAGCAAAGGUUCUGAAUUAGAUAUAGCGUUAUUGGAAAGGUGAUUUAAAUAUGGUAUAGCACCGUUGUUUGGGGAGCAAAACAAAGAUGGUCGAUGUGAGCUUCAAUCCACUGCUGUCCACAGUGUUGCGUGCGUCCAAUAGCUAGUCGCUGCUGCUAAAUCGCUUUAAUUGGCCCUACGCGGCACAAAAGGUGGAUUAACCUGAAUAUAAACAAUACACGUUGCGGCAUACAUUUAGGUAUCGACUGCUCCAGCUCGGUGACCAUUGUGGUAAUUGCGGCAGAUGCGCACAAAUGAGUUCUUGUUUAUUUGAUCAAGAGGGAGAACGACAGAAGACGAUGAGUAGACUGUUGGAUUUGAGCAAGGUUCUAAUCUUAUUGGGGAGUGAAGACGAGAAAAAAAUGCAUUUUUUUUUUUCGGCGUUAUGGUUUGCCAGCCUGAUUAUUUAUUUGGUCCACACUGGCCCAGAGUGGGGCAUCGUUUGCAAGCCCGCCGUGCCAACAUCAACCGCAGCAUUUGCAAAGCCAUUAUUGUUACGAUUGUUUUUAUUAUUACAAGGGAGACAUUAAAUGGUUAGCUCUAGGUUUGCCAUCCAAUCCUGCAGCAUGAAACCAGAAUCGACACCAGCGCAGCCCCCCUUUUUUGUCGGCAUGCCGUGGAGGAAAAAAAACGCCGUAAAACUACCAAAGAAGAGAAACCCCCCACAAAAGCAGACGUUCUGCGAGCACGACGACACACGGACUUAAACGGACAAACAAGUUUCCACGUAGCUGGAGAUGAAUCCCAUCAUAAUCAGCUGGCAAGUCUUACUACAGCUAAUCAGUGGAAUUUUGCUUAUCUGGAGGGUAAGCUGUGGAGAAAAAAACUAAAUAAACAAAACAAAAUAACACACUGCCAACUCUCAGACAAAGUCUGAGAAUUCCUGGGAGAACAAAUGGGUUUUUAAACAGGAUUUAAAUCUAAGUUAUAGGUUUAGGUUCCUGAAACUCAUACUACAAUAGAUGCAUAUAUGGUACUUUGCCUUUUAGCAAUGUUAUAAGGACCAUAGAUACCCCUCAAUCCUUGGCACACAAAGUAUUUUGUGCAUAUUCCUACAAAACUAUAUGUCCUUAUCUCCUACUAUUUACUGAUGUGCCAAAAUGGCUGCUGUCCAUUCACCCAUUUUCUACACCGAUUAUCCUGUUCAGGGUCACUGGGAACUGGAGACUAUCCCAUCUGACUUUGGGCGAAGGCAGACCACACCCUGGACUGGUCGCCAGUCAAUCAGAGGGCACAUGGAGAAAGACAUCCGUUCACACUCAUUUUUACAUCGUCACUGAGUCGGAAUUGAACCCACACUUCCUACAGGCAAAUAAAUGUGUAUUUUAGUACAAGUCUAUUUGUAGGCCUCUCAAACAACAAACUGUCCCCUACUUGGUGCCAAACAUUUCAAGUGGAAUCUUCACUCAAGAGUCGCUGCUGCCAUCUUGUGGUUUCAAUGGCGUCUGUGUGCUGACUCGCAAACUUAUUUAACGCAAUAGAGUAUAAGCAUAGCAAUAAAGCCCAAAAAGUGUGCUUUUUCAUUAUAAUCACCUUUUUUCACAACACUGACUUCAUCAAUAAACAAGGGCAUGUAUGACAGUCUUGUAAAAUUCAGUAGGCUGCGCUUUUUACAGUUUUCUGACAGCUUGCUUAAUUUGUUCGUCAUUAGAAAGUGCUGACCCCUAACUCCUUGUUUUAAAGGUCCAAAAAGGUGUUAAUCUGAUGGUUCCAGUCAGGUGAGUAUGGGGGAUGGGUUAUGGUUUUCCAGCCAAAGGAACUGAUGACUUUACAAGCUUCUUUGCCUGUCACAGAAGUCACUCAAAGCAGACUCCUGUUCUUUGCCUUUGAUCCUGGACACCCACUUUUUGACUGUGCUGUAGUGUAGCCUAUUGCAGCUUCCCCAUACACAUUUUGCAACCUUUUGAAAAUGGUUAGUGGUAGUCCACCUUCCAAAGCAAGAAAUUCAAUCAGAGCUCUCUGUUUCUGACCAGCAUCCAACAAUGACGGCAUUUCCAAAAUGGUGGAUAGGCAGAGGACAGGCUUCAAUGAAACUUAAAAACAAACAAAAAAAACACCUCCAGCAAGUAUUUAAACUACAAAUCGUUAAAAUUUCUGGGGGAAAAAAAUCAAUUGUUGGUUAAAUUGGGAUAAUUUCUUUUUUUACUGCUCCUCGUAUUUGUAUUUAAUACUUUUGCAUAUACCAUUGCGACAAUUUGAGAAUUGCUGCUGUAUAACAAUAAAUGGCAGGGGAAAUUGUGUCGCUGGUGUUGGGCAGAAACCUCACAUCUCUAAAACAAUCACUUUUCAAGAAACCACAAAAACUGCCAUCAUACAGCAUUCGUUCUACUGUUUGCAAAAAUAUGUUUAAUAUUAUACAACACAUACAAAUACGUAGUCCAUCCAUUUUUCUAUACCGCUCAUCCUGUUCAGGGUUGGAAGAACAUAAAAAAUAAUACAACGAAAUGCUGCGUUUCCUAAAUGAAUGCAUAUCUUUUUAAAGAUAUGAAGUUGGGACGUUGUGUUAAACAUAAAUACAGAAUACAAUGGUUUGCAAAUCAUGUUCAACCUAUAUUUAAUUGAAUACGCCACAAAGACAAGAUAUUUAAUGUUCAAACUGAUAAACUUUAUUGUUUUUCGCAAAGAAUCAUUAAUUUAGAAUUUUAUGGCUGCAACACGUUCCAAAAAAGCUGGGACAGGUGGCAAAAAAGACUGAGAAUAGCUGAAACUGUACAUCAAGCAAGAAUGGGAGAUAAUUCCACUUACAAAGCUUCAACAAUUAGUGUCCUCAAUUCCCAAACAUUUAUCGAAUGUUGUUAAAAGAAAAGGUAAUGUAACACAGUGGUAAACAUGACCCUGUCCCAGCUUUUUUGGAACGCGUUCAGCCAUAAAAUUCUAAGUUCCUGAUUAUUUGCUAAAAACAAUAUAGUUUAUCAGUUUGAACAUGAUUUCCAAAUCAUUUUAUUCUGUUUUUAUUUAUGUUUAACACCACGUCCCAACUUCAUUGGAAUUGGGGUUGUAUUUUAAGUCACUGUAUAUUGAAAAAUAAAAACAAAUAUUUCAAUGAUUCAAUAAAAAGUGUAUUGCGCAGAAAAGUUUAGUAAAAUUGUACAGGUACUUCUUUUCCAUUUUUUAAAAACCAAAAGUUAAAGAUUAAAUACAAAGUUAAACUGUAUUGAAAAAAUGUACUGUACUGGAUUGAAAAAAAAAAAAAAAAAAAGUUUAAAUAGGCUAUGCAUAGCUUCAAACUACAUUCUAACAUUUGAUUUUAUUUCAAGUAUUUUAAGUGUGAGGCAGAUGCGCUAACUACAACCUCACUGAGCUGGUGUGUAAAUAGAUUAGGUGUGAGUAAAACUCAUUCAAACUACUGGAGUGGAGUAGAUUUAUUGUUUUUUAAAUGAUCUUCUUAGCCUUUUCAGUUCAGGCUGGCUGAAAUUCCCCAAAAACUUUACAAUACAGUACGUAUGCAUCAGUUACUUUAAUGAUGGUUCAGUGACAUCACCUACUUGGCGCACACUCAAAGAUGAUGAUGUAGUUAACAAAAUAUUUUCAAAUGAUUUCAUGUGGAGUUGUUUUUACACUGUCCGUUGAAAAUCUUUUCUAACCCUAUUGAGCUCUGUUUCUUCUUCAUUUACAAAGGUCCACGUUUCGAGAAUGCAUCUUUGGAUUGCAAUAUAUCACGCCCUUCUGGGGUUUGAGAAGUUUCCUUUUUCCUCCUUGGACCUGCAAUGAGUUGGUGAAAAUAAAAUUAAACAAAAACAC